rnacentral:rRNA from 1 species
GACGUAGGGCGCGAGCGUUGUCCGGAUUUAUUGGGCGUAAAGAGCUCGUAGGCGGCUUGUCGCGUCGAAUGUGAAAACUCGGGGCUCAACUCCGAGCUUGCAUUCGAUACGGGCAGGCUAGAGUUCGGUAGGGGAGACUGGAAUUCCUGGUGUAGCGGUGAAAUGCGCAGAUAUCAGGAGGAACACCGGUGGCGAAGGCGGGUCUCUGGGCCGUAACUGACGCUGAGGAGCGAAAAGCAUGGGGGAGCGAACAGG